CAUAAAUUUUCUAGUUUAUGUUUUUUAUAUAAUAUAAAUUUACAUGUAAGUAAAUGCAUAAAUUAAACUGAAUUUUAAAUAAAUUUUAGGUGAAUAUAAAUAAACACAGUGGUUAAUUUUAUAAAUUUAAGGAAUUAAGAUGUAGUAAUUAUUUUUAGUAUAGAUAAAAUUUGUGCCAGCAAUAGCGGUUAGACAGAUUAUACAAUAAAAAAAGGUUAGUAAAAGUUAAUUUUAAAUUAUUUAGAAUAUAAUAAUAUUAUUAUUAGGUGAAAUUUUAAUUUUAUUUAAGUUUUAAAGUAAUAGUGAGGCUAAAAAAAUUUAUUCUAAAACUAGGAUUAGAUACCCUAUUAUAAAAAGGUAAAAUUUUAAACUAGAUGAGUAGUAGUUAUUUUCUUAAAAGUUAAAGAAGAUGGCGGUAUUUUAGUCUUUUCAGAGGAACCUGUUCUAUAAUUGAUAGUCCACGUUUUUAUUUACUUAUUUUUUUAAUUUACAUAUCGCCGUAGAUUGAAUAUUUUUUAUGAGUUUAUAAUGUUCAAGAAUUUUUUUAAAAGUAAAUCAGGUCAAGAUGUAGUUUAUAAAUAAGAAGAAAUGGGUUACAAUAAAUUUAUUUAAAAUGGAAAAAAUUUUGUAAAGAUUUUAAAAAGUGGAUUUGAAAGUAAUUUUAAAAAUUUUUUUAAAAUGAUUUUGGCUCUAAAAUAUGUACAUAUCGCCCGUCGCUUUCAUUACAAAAUGAAAUAAGUCGUAACAAAGUAGAGGUACCGGAAGGUGUCUCUAGAAAGA
rnacentral:ncRNA from 1 species